UGACAGCUUUCCUCCACUAUGCCCUUCCACCAGGAUGUUCUGUCUUAAGUAGGUCCAGAGAAAUGGAGAUGGCUGACCGUUGGACUGAACAUCAAACUGGCAAGUGUGGCAUGUGAUGCCAUUGGGCAGAGGUCUCUGCCUGACAGACCUGUGUGCCUUCACCACAUUUCCGGACUGAGCUGAAGCUCAGAAGGGAAACUGACACAGGAAAGUCCCUGCAGGAAGCCUGCUGCUGGUGCAGGUUGCCAGGGCAACCUGCAGCUGCUCUCUUUCCUUGAAAGAGGAUGGGCUUGUGGAAGCCCAGAUGUACUCUACCCUCCAAUGGUGCAGCCCCAUGGGACUGGCCAUGCAUUCGCAUCUCAUCCAAUCCACUUCUCUGGGGAGUCCGGCGCAGGGCCAUCAUGCCUAUUUGACAUGUGAGAGAACUGAGGCCCAGAGUCAUGAAGGAACUUGCCUAGGUUUGCAUGAUUAAAAAGUAGCUCAGA